AUGGGGAGAUUCAUCGUCAACCUCUUUGGCUUACGUGUGGGUGCGAUGAUCGGGACCUCGGUCUCGCGUCACGCGCUCGCUGCGGCAUGUCCGGAGGGGUCGGCGUGCACUUCUCCCCUAGUAGGACGUCGCGACCCGUUGGGUGCUUGUCUACGGUCCGGUUGGUCGACUGGCGAGUCACGUGCAAACGCGAUCUCGCCAGACCACUGGUUUGCCCGAUUGGCUGCCCGACGGUAUUGAACGAUAAUUAACAUGGUAUUGGGCCGCACAAAGUGCGUUCAGGCCCGUCGUCAGGCUCGUCUCGCUCGGAUUUUCGAACCUGGUUUCGUUGUCGAGUGCUUGACGUGGCUGUUGGGCGACGGUGUCCUCGGACUGGCUCUAAAUAUUCGAACGGAUAUACCUGUCGGCGACGCUACUGCUUUGGGUACUUUCAGGACCCGUCUU
rnacentral:rRNA from 1 species